rnacentral:rRNA from 1 species
GAUGAACGCUGGCGGCGUGCCUAAUACAUGCAAGUCGAGCGAACAGACGAGGAGCUUGCUCCUCUGACGUUAGCGGCGGACGGGUGAGUAACACGUGGAUAACCUACCUAUAAGACUGGGAUAACUUCGGGAAACCGGAGCUAAUACCGUAUAAUAUAUUGAACCGCAUGGUGCAAUAGUGAAAGACGGUUUUGCUGUCACUUAUAGAUGGAUCCGCGCCGCAUUAGCUAGUUGGUAAGGUAACGGCUUACCAAGGCAACGAUGCGUAGCCGACCUGAGAGGGUGAUCGGCCACACUGGAACUGAGACACGGUCCAGACUCCUACGGGAGGCAGCAGUAGCGAAUCUUCCGCAAUGGGCGAAAGCCUGACGGAGCAACGCCGCGUGAGUGAUGAAGGUCUUCGGAUCGUAAAACUCUGUUAUUAGGGAAGAACAAAUGUGUAAGUAACUAUGCACGUCUUGACGGUACCGAAUCAGAAAGCCACGGCUAACUACGUG